rnacentral:rRNA from 1 species
AGCGAACGCUGGCGGCAGGCUUAACACAUGCAAGUCGAACGCCCCGCAAGGGGAGUGGCAGACGGGUGAGUAACACGUGGGAACGUACCCUUUGGUUCGGAAUAACUUGGGGAAACUCAAGCGAAUACCGGAUAAGCCCUUAAGGGGAAAGGUUUACUGCCGAAGGAUCGGACCGCGUCUGAUUAGCUAGUUGGUGAGGUAAUGGCUCAACAAGGCAACGAUCAGUAGCUGGUCCGAGAGGAUGAUCAGCCACACUGGGAGUGAGACACGGCCCAGACUCCUACGGGAGGCAGCAGUGGAGAAUAUUGGACAAUGGGGGCAACCCUGAUCCAGCCAUGCCGCGUGAGUGAUGAAGGCCUUAGGGUUGUAAAGCUCUUUUACCCGGGACGAUAAUGACUGUACCGGGAGAAUAAGCCCCGGCUAACUUCGUGCCAGCCGCCGCCGUAA